rnacentral:rRNA from 1 species
GUGGGGAAUAUUGGACAAUGGGCGCAAGCCUGAUCCAGCCAUGCCGCGUGUGUGAAGAAGGCCUUCGGGUUGUAAAGCACUUUCAGCGGGGAGGAAGGCNUUCCGGUUAAUACCNUGCUGGAUUGACGUUACCCACAGAAUAAGCACCGGCUAACUCCGUGCCAGCAGCCGCGGUAAUACGGAGGGUGCAAGCGUUAAUCGGAAUUACUGGGCGUAAAGCGCGCGNAGGNGGUUNGUUAAGUCNGAUGUGAAAUCCCCGGGCUCAACCUGGGAACUGCAUUCGAAACUGGCNNGCUAGAGUCUGGUAGAGGGGGGUGGAAUUCCCGGUGUAGCGGUGAAAUGCGUAGANAUCGGGAGGAACACCGGUGGCGAAGGCGGCCCCCUGGAC